UUAGGCCUUUUAUCAAAAGAACGGCUGCUGAGGGCACAACUUCAACUUCAGUUUGUCUAUUUUGAACCUUUAAUUUG
rnacentral:tRNA from 1 species